rnacentral:lncRNA from 1 species
UUGGAGGCUCAAAUUUGGCUGAGGACUAGCCAAGACAUUAAAGAAGAAUUUUACAGAAAAGGAAAAAUGUCCAUAGAAGAAUAUUGGGGAGAAAUAAGGCCAAACUCGAGAGGCAUACACAUGGAGAACAAUUUUGACCUUCAAGGCUUGUUUGGGCCAUAAAUGGGCCAAACAGACUUGGAUGAAGCCCAAACUAAAACCACAUGAUAGCUGCCUACUUGAGGGACAUUAAAGCACAAAUUUUGGCAAAAAGAUAAAGUACUGAGCAAAUUAUGGAGCUUUGAAGUAAAGGUAUAGGCAUGGGCCUAACUUUGUUUACUCUUUGGACUUUUGGGCCUUUAGUGAACCUUAGAUGGUACAGUUGUGGUCAUUUUGAGCCUAAAUUUAUUUAGUAAGUGACGAGCAAGUGAAGGUAAAGGGGGUCAAAAACUCAUAAGAAUCAAUAGAGUUAUGGUUGUUUGAAGUGACAACAUUUGCAUGGAGUGAGGUUUUGGUCCUUAUGGGUUUAUGUAUGCCAAAGGUGACGCAAAAUAGCUUUAGUGUAAUCUAAAUUUGGUAUGGAAGCUCGUGGAAGGAGAAUAGGAUGGUGUAUCAAGUUUGAAUAAGGAUGGAAGACUCUAAAAUUACUUAAGGGUGAAGGAAGGCAAAAAGAGGGAAAAAUGAUAAGCAUGAGGAAUUGAGGUGGCAACUGCACAAUUUGCCACCUAAACCCC